CAUUACAAGCAGAUUACUUGGGUUUCUCAAGGAAUUUAAAGCACUCUUAAAAAAAAUGUGUAAUUUUGUCAGCUGUAAAAUGACUGUGGUGGCAACAUGUGCUAGGGAGCAGCCCUUGCUCUCCCCAUGCAGGGACCUGCAACCAUUCACAUCCAUCAGUGGAACACAGCAGGUGACAGCAUGGAUGAAAAGCAGGACAGGGUCCUAUUUUAAUUCCUAGGGCUAACCUCCUCCAUUGACCAGGGAUGCUCAGAGAGCUGUUAAAUUGGCUUUGUUUUGUUUUCAUUGACAAUAACAAUCUUCUCAACAUCACAGACCUCUGUGGCCAAUUUAAUCCCAGUAAUGCAGCUCCUCUGAAUGCUGGGACCGAUCCCGAUGAGGUACCGUGGGGCCAGCCCUGCUUUGCAAGGUGCCUCUGCAAGGAAAAGAGCUGUUAACCCGAAUUACUUGGCAGCUCCCAGAAAUUCUAGCAGAUUUCCAUAGAGGGGGAAAAAUUAAGAUCAUAGAAAACUCUUGGCAGCAUAUGAAGGGAGAAGCAAUGCCAGACUUGUAACCAAUCAUGAAAAUGCAUGUUGUGAAGAAUAAAGAAAUGAUGAACCCUCUUCACUAAUGAACUCUACUUUUAUUCAGAAUGAAGAUGUCUUCCAGCAACAUGUUUUUUCUUUCUCUUUCUUUCUCCCCACUUCUAACAUGCUGAGUAAAAAGAAAAAAGCCCAGUUCUACAUGUCUUGAACAGAUUCAAACAUCUGUGAAUAAAUAAGUGCUAAACAUUAGAUACCUCCCAUUUAAGUUUCAAAGUCUCUUUCAGAGGAUAGUAAAUGAUAUUAUUUUGCCUCCCAGAAAGGAAAAUUAAUUCACAGAGAGGCUGACUUAACUGGGAUCACGCAA